rnacentral:rRNA from 1 species
GACGAACCGUGCGAACGUUGUUCGGAAUCACUGGGCUUAAAGGGCGCGUAGGCGGCUCACCAAGUCGGGGGUGAAAUACUUCAGCUUAACUGGAGAAGUGCCUUCGAUACUGGUGGGCUUGAGGGAGGUAGGGGUCUGUGGAACUUCUGGUGGAGCGGUGAAAUGCGUUGAUAUCAGGAGGAACACCCAUGGCGAAGGCAGCAAACUGGCCGGCAUCUGACGCUGAGGCGCGAAAGCGUGGGUAGCAAACAGG